rnacentral:lncRNA from 1 species
UCGCCGAUGUAACAUUUCAAUUUAUUACAACAACAUGCCUUCACUGAAUUCAUUCAGGUGCACCAAUGAUACGAUUAAAGUUAUUUUGUUUCUAUCUUUGGGGACAAUUUCCUCCGUUUAUGGUACGCUUAUAGCUACAUUUUUGUACUGUGUGUAUGUUUUAUAGCAUGAAAAUAAUAAAAGAGGAAUGUCAGUGCAACCACUGAUUAAUGAUUGUAAUGGAUCAGUAUUAUGAGAUACUUAUUAUAAGUGACUACGACAUUGUUAGGAUUAUAACCUAUCGUCAGUAUGAAAGAAAUUAAAAGUGGUUCAUAUAUUCAUCCGUAUAAAAGCGGCACAUGUAUUUUAUUUUAUCCUUAUAUUUCUCAUCAUGCCGGGUACAAGAUAAUUGAGUUGCUGCAUGCAAAGAACUUAGAAU